rnacentral:rRNA from 1 species
UGGGGAAUAUUGGACAAUGGGCGAAAGCCUGAUCCAGCCAUGCCGCGUGUGUGAAGAAGGCCUUCGGGUUGUAAACCGCUUUUGUCAGGGAAGAAACGAGUUUCUCUAAUACAGAGACUUAAUGACGGUACCUGAAGAAUAAGCACCGGCUAACUACGUGCCAGCAGCCGCGGUAAUACGUAGGGUGCAAGCGUUAAUCGGAAUUACUGGUCGUAAAGCGUGCGCAGGCGGUUAUGUAAGACAGAUGUGAAAUCCCCGGGCUCAACCUGGGACCUGCAUUUGUGACUGAAUAGCUAGAGUACGGCAGAGGGGGAUGGAAUUCCGCGUGUAGCAGUGAAAUGCGUAGAUAUGCGGAGGAACACCGAUGGCGAAGGCAAUCCCCUGGGCCUGUACUGACGCUCAUGCACGAAAGCGUGGGGAGCAAACA